AAAAAUUGUUUUAGUGGCGCUCAUUAGCCGGGAAAGGCAAACCUAACUGGAAUUCCUAUGUAAUCACCAUGAGAUCAGAGGGGUCACAUGAAGUUUUAUACAUGCCUGAAGGCUAAGACCCUCAAGCAACAAAGACAUUCCCUUCUGGGAAAGAGGCAUUCCCUCUGUGUACCACAGCCUGGACCUCACCUUGAGACAAGAUUGAAAGCAGCUAAUAAACUGACAAGCUUUUUGCAAGUUUUGGAGAAUAAAAAUGUAAGCACUACCAGGAUUAAGUGGUAAAUUACCUAAUGGCAGAUUUGAAAAUGCUGGCAGUAUCUUAAUGGUAUGUCAGUACCUCAGAUAUUUAAGGCUCCAGGUAGAAGCAUCAAAUCAGAUUCUUGCAGCCAUCUGUGGGUGCUCAGCAAUGGGAUAACACAACAGUGUAAUGUCAUUUGCGGGCAGAAGGUAAGUGUGCUACGGAACUAGGAGUCUACUGUGGCUGAUGUUCUUAUUAGUGAGGUCUGGAAGAUCUUACCCUACUCUAGAUUUUCAGAGCUGCUAAUUAUGCUAUCCCUGAUCUCAAAUAUUGCUAAGAAAGAACAAAUAUUGGACAAGGGGGUGCUGGCUGCCUAUUUUCACUGCCACUUUCAAUAAUAGAAGGAUAAUUUACACCUAUGUGGCUGAUUCUGGAUUAUUCUUACCUGUGAUAGAUUCAGUGCUUUGCACACACCCUUUGCAGGAAUGUUUUUGUUAUCAGCGGUUUUAAAAGAGACUUAUAAAAGCAAGGAGAGACUGUGAUUAUGAACAGGUGAGGUUCGCUUGUGAGGUUGUUUACUUGAGUUAUUUCUUCUCUUUCCAACCCCUCCAUGCCUUCCCUAAGCAUUUUCAUGGGUUUUCUUUCGACAAAUUGUACUGAAUUCAUUGAGGAUCACUUAACGCCGUCAUUUCAGCAACAUCAUGCAGGUUUCCAGUAUUUAUGUUUACAUACUGAUACGUAACUCUGACUCACUUCCUGACUUCGCUGUUCUCUGGUUGUUGGGGUUUGGUGUUUUUUUUUUGUUUCUGUGUGUUGUUUUUUUUAGUAUUAGUUUUUCUAAAAGGUACAAUUGGCUCCAGUUUGAGCCCCCAAUCAAUAGCAAAUUAUUGAUUUUGUAUACAAUUUCCUCCAUUUUAUUUCUGUAGCAACUGAAAUUUUUACCUGGUGAAUCUCAUUGCAUUCAUCUGCUGUACAUGGCUGAUAGCAGAUGCAUAUCCAGGCAUGUUCUUACACAAUCCACAAAGGUUUGUUUCAACCUUUUGUCCCCAGAAGCUGUGGAGAAAAGGACUCUGUUAAAUCUAUUUAGAACAGAAGUUGGCUGGGGUGAGGAGUUUUAUCCCUGUAAGUAAAAGCAGUGUGGCGUGAAGGUAUUUGUAGCAUGGGUUCUUUUAAUGAAUCUUAGCCACUUACUUGACUAAAGACACUAGACUGGUCUUACUUAAAAGUAAGCAAUUAACUUUCAACACAGAAAAUUACAUUACUUAAAACUGUUACACAUCUAUCUGAACAAUACUUACAGUGUCUUGUUGCUUUUAUUGCCUUUUAUUUUAUUUUAUUUUGGCCCCUGGCAUUUUGUAUGUAACAAUCCAGACACCAUGAGACAUGUUUAUUAAAUACACUCGGGGCCUUUGCACAGUACAAUCUUGUUUUAUAUCAUUUUAUACAAUACACUAUUACUGUAGCCAACUAAUAAAUAAGAACAGCAUUCAGAAA